AUUGAACGCUGGCGGCAGGCCUAACACAUGCAAGUCGGGCGAAAGGAGGACGGGUGAGCAAGGUAUGGGGAUCUGCCUGAGGGAGGGGGAUAAAUAGUGGAAAAGGUAGAUAAUAACGCAUAACAUAAGAUGAAACCACAUGGGAGUAGGUAGUAGGUGAGGUAACGGCUCACCGAGGCGACGAUCCCUAGCUGGUCUGAGAGGAUGACCGGCCACACUGGGACUGAGACACGGCCCAUACUCCUACGGGAGGCAGCAGUGGGGAAUAUUGCACAAUGGGCGCAAGCCUGAUGCAGCCAUGCCGCGUGUAUGAAGAAGGCCUUCGGGUUGUAAAGUACUUUCAGUCGGGAGGCGUUACCGACAGAAGAAGCACCGGCUAACUCCGUGCCAGCAGCCGCGGUAAUAC
rnacentral:rRNA from 1 species